GUAGCGGCGAGCGAACAGGGAAGAGCCCAGCGCUGAAUCCCCCGGGCCUGGCUCGGCGGGAAAUGUAGCGUUAGGGAGGGUUCAUUAACCCGGAUUCUCGCGACUAGUUCAAGUCCAACUUGAAUGGGGCCACACAGAGGGUGACAGGCCCGUAGAGCAGUCGCGGGGUUCGGGUGAGCCUCUCCUCAGAGUCGGUUUGCUUGAGAGUGCAGACCUAAGUGGGUGGUAAACUCCAUCUAAGGCUAAAUACGACCACGAGACCGAUAGCACACAAGUACCGUGAGGGAAAGGUGAAAAGAACUUUGAAGAGAGAGUUCAAGAGUACGUGAAACUGAAGUGGUGUAAACGGACGAGACUGGAAAGUCCGAAUGGGGAGAUUCAUGUUCGUCCGGGGCGGUCGCCCUUCGGGUUCAGAUGGUGCGGUCGGCUCGGGGGCCCUCUGUGGUUCCUGGGUUCUGUUCCGUAUCCACUCGUCCCGUCGGGUUCGUUUCCGUUCCGGCGGGCUGCACUUCUUCCCUAGUAGGACGUCGCGACCCGUUGGGGUUUUUGUCGGUCUGUGGCCUGCGGUGGAGCCCGGUCCCGGGCGUGGCCUCGUGCCGCGUCGCGGUGUCCGGACCCGCGGUGACCUGGCCGGCACCCGACGGUAGCAAAGAUUCAGGGCGAGGGACCGCACAUUGUUGCGUUUGAUGCCCUUCACGGGGCUAUCACUCGAACAGGUCCGCACCCGGUCAGCGGCGCUACUGCUUUCGGUACUCGUCCGACCCGUCUUGAAACACGGACCAAGGAGUCUAACAUGUGCGCGAGUCAUUGGGCUCACGAAACCUAAAGGCGAAAUGAAAGUGAAGGCCGAGCACUUGUGCUAGUGCCGAGGGAGGAUGGUCGGUCCUGAGUGGCCGACCCGCACUCCCGGGGCGUCUCGAUCUCUUUGAGAUGUGGCGCACCCAGAGCGUACACGUUGGGACCCGAAAGAUGGUGAACUAUGCCUGGCCAGGACGAAGUCAGGGGAAACCCUGAUGGAGGUCCGUAGCGAUUCUGACGUGCAAAUCGAUCGUCGGAGCUGGGUAUAGGGGCGAAAGACUAAUCGAACCAUCUAGUAGCUGGUUCCCUCCGAAGUUUCCCUCAGGAUAGCUGGCGCUCAUUCCGGACGUGAGACGAGUCUCAUCCGGUAAAGCGAAUGAUUAGAGGCCUUGGGGCCGAAACGACCUCAACCUAUUCUCAAACUUUAAAUGGGUGAGAUCUCCGGCUUGCUUAGGUGAAGCCGGAGACGAUUGGAUCAGAGUGCCAAGUGGGCCAAUUUUGGUAAGCAGAACUGGCGCUGUGGGAUGAACCAAACGCAGAGUUAAAGCGCCUAAAUCGACGCUCAUGGGAAACCAUGAAAGGCGUUGGUUGCUUAAGACAGCAGGACGGUGGCCAUGGAAGUCGGAAUCCGCUAAGGAGUGUGUAACAACUCACCUGCCGAAGCAACUAGCCCUGAAAAUGGAUGGCGCUGAAGCGUCGUGCUUAUACUCUGCCGCCAGGGCAAGAGAGGUUCGCCCUAGUGCGGCCAUGAAGCCCUGGUGAGUAGGAGGGUCGCGAUGGUGUGCGCAGAAGGGUCUGGGCGUGAGCCUGCCUGGAGCCGCCAUCGGUGCAGAUCUUGGUGGUAGUAGCAAAUACUCCAGAGAGGUCCUGGAGGGCUGAUGUGGUAGAAGGGUUUCGUGUGAACAGCCGUUGCACACGAGUCAGUCGAUCCUAAGCCCUAGGAGAAAUCCGAAGUCGAUGAGCGCGUCUGUUACGCAAAAGUGCAAAGAGUGACGACCGCCAUCGGGCGAAAGGGAAUCCGGUUCCUAUUCCGGAACCCAGUACCGGAACCGUUUCCAAUCGGGCCCUCAAAAGCUCGUCAGGGUAACCUAACAUGCCCCGGAGACGCCGUCGGGAGCUGCCGGGAGAGUUAUCUUUUCUGUAUAAGCGGGCAAAUUCCCUGGAAGUCCUUAGCGGAGAGAUAGGGAACAGCCCGCGAAGAGCACCGCACUUGCGGCGGUGUCGGCAGCGUCCUCUCGGACCUUGAAAAUCCGGGCGAGGGCCACGUGGACGUCCGGUCUGGUUCGUACCCAUAUCCGCAGCAGGUCUCCAAGGUUAAGAGCCUCUAGUCGAUAGAACAAUG
rnacentral:rRNA from 1 species